rnacentral:rRNA from 1 species
UGGACGCUGGCGGCGUGCCUAAUACAUGCAAGUCGAGCGAAUGGAUUAAGAGCUUGCUCUUAUGAAGUUAGCGGCGGACGGGUGAGUAACACGUGGGUAACCUGCCCAUAAGACUGGGAUAACUCCGGGAAACCGGGGCUAAUACCGGAUAACAUUUUGAACUGCAUGGUUCGAAAUUGAAAGGCGGCUUCGGCUGUCACUUAUGGAUGGACCCGCGUCGCAUUAGCUAGUUGGUGAGGUAACGGCUCACCAAGGCAACGAUGCGUAGCCGACCUGAGAGGGUGAUCGGCCACACUGGGACUGAGACACGGCCCAGACUCCUACGGGAGGCAGCAGUAGGGAAUCUUCCGCAAUGGACGAAAGUCUGACGGAGCAACGCCGCGUGAGUGAUGAAGGCUUUCGGGUCGUAAAACUCUGUUGUUAGGGAAGAACAAGUGCUAGUUGAAUAAGCUGGCACCUUGACGGUACCUAACCAGAAAGCCACGGCUAACUACGUGCCAGCAGCCGCGGUAAUACGUAGGUGGCAAGCGUUAUCCGGAAUUAUUGGGCGUAAAGCGCGCGCAGGUGGUUUCUUAAGUCUGAUGUGAAAGCCCACGGCUCAACCGUGGAGGGUCAUUGGAAACUGGGAGACUUGAGUGCAGAAGAGGAAAGUGGAAUUCCAUGUGUAGCGGUGAAAUGCGUAGAUAUAGGAAGGAACACCAGUGGCGAAGGCGACCACCUGGACUGAUACUGACACUGAGGUGCGAAAGCGUGGGGA